CCUACGGGAGGCAGCAGUGAGGAAUAUUGGUCAAUGGUCGGGAGACUGAACCAGCCAAGCCGCGUGAGGGAUGAAGGUACAGAGUAUUGUAAACCUCUUUUGUCAGGGAAUAAAGGCGGGGACGUGUCCCUGGAUGUGUGUACCUGAUGAAAAAGCAUCGGCUAACUCCGUGCCAGCAGCCGCGGUAAUACGGAGGAUGCGAGCGUUAUCCGGAUUUAUUGGGUUUAAAGGGUGCGCAGGCGGCCUGUUAAGUCAGCGGUCAAAGCCCGGGGCUCAACCCCGGCCCGCCGUUGAAACUGGCAGGCUCGAGUUGGAGAGAAGUAUGCGGAAUGCGCGGUGUAGCGGUGAAAUGCAUAGAUAUCGCGCAGAACUCCGAUUGCGAAGGCAGCAUGCCGGCUCCACACUGACGCUGAGGCACGAAAGCGUGGGUAUCGAACAGGAUUAGAUACCCCUGUAGUC
rnacentral:rRNA from 1 species